rnacentral:lncRNA from 1 species
CUACGAGUACAAUUAACGCUAUUAUAUAUUAUGAAUAACUGACUCAUGAUUAAACCCCAGUAAUAAGAAUUCAUGUUUAUUGCUAGUAUGGACAAUUUUCAGUAUGCUAAACAUAAAGACUUAAAAGCCACUUAUAGGGUGUGUACUCAAGGCUUUUGAGCAAAAGAAAAACACUCUACAUAAACUUUAGUGGCGACGAAGUCGCCAGAGAGGAAUGUUUAAACAACAUAAUUAUAAAGGCAAGACGAUGAUGAUCGGCACGCCACCUCGGAUCCCUAAUAUCGUGAAUGAAACAAGACUGCAUCACUUUGAUGAUUUCCCUUGCUCUUGAACGUUGUUGUUGGCAGAAUUCAGCAUGGGAAUGUUUAAGGCACGACAACUAUGGGUGUCGCACCAACCUGCGUAUAUAAUACGAUCCAUUUUUUAUACUAUUAUUAGAAUGCUUGCUUAUGAAUUGCAUGAUUUAUUAUGAACUGAUGUUUAUUAAUUUGAGGACCAAAAAUUGAAAAUAUAAAAUUAAGCUAAGGUUUAUGAGUUAAGAUCGAAAACCCAUGAUCAAAUGAGUUAAGACCGAAUUAAGAUCGAUAAGCUAAUGGGUUAAGACCAAAUUAAGAUCGAGAACCUAAGAUUGGACGGGUUAAGACUGAAUUAAGAUCGACAACCCAAUGGGUUAAGACCGAGUUAAGAUCGAGAACCCAAGAUCGAAUGGGUUAAGACCGAGUUAAGAUCGAGAACCCAAGAUCGAAUGGAUUAAGACCGAAUUAAGAUCGAGAACCCAAGAUCGAAUGGGUUAAGAUCGAGAACCCAAUAUUGAAUGGGUUAAGAUCUAAUUAAGAUCGAAAGAGCCCAAGAUCGAAUGGGUUAAGACCAAACUAAGAUCGAGAAACCAAGAUCAAAUGGGUUAAGACUGAAUUUAAAUCAAAAUCCAAGAACGAAGGUUAAAUUAUGAUCAUGAGAUUGUAACCGAAGGCUAAAUUAUGACCAAGUGAUCGUGUCCGAAGGAUAAUGUAUGACUUUGUGAUCACAACCAAAGGCUAAACUAUGAUUGUAGCCAAAGGCUAAACUUGUAAUGAAAUUUCAAGUCACAUGAUUUUUUGCAAAAAAAAUAUUUUUCCUCUACAAAGUAAGAUGAUAUACAUUUGCAGAGGAAAAGGAGGGCAUUUGUGGGUGCAAAAAAUAAGGCUUAAGCAAGCAGCCACUUCCUAAAUUUGGGGUAAAGGGGCAUGAUCAUGGAAGAUGGAACAUGGAGAAAUAUAAGGAAAGUGGGACUUGGAGCCUAAGUAUUUUAUGCCUAUAAAUGAACUAGAAUCUGACGAAAAGUGGAGGUAGAGAGGUAUAAGAUGAUUCUAUAUUUUACAAGCAUCUUGAAUAAAGACUGACUUGAGUGUCGGAAUGUUUUCUUGCAGGUCUCCACCUCCCUCAUGGAUGGAGAGCGAAGAUGGUAUUGUGGGCUUCUCAACAUGGUUACAAGAUUUACUUGUUGAAGGAUUAGAGGAACCAAAAUUUUCCGCUCCAACAGAUGCAAAUCGUCUUUUAAAUAAAAAGUUAAAAACUGACAGCAAGCCUUGCAAGGCCUAGGACACCAUGAACAAAAUACACCAUGGCAACAGCCACAUUGUCAGGGCACAAUUCGAGCCCGAAAAUUUUCACACUGCUCCUUCUAUGCUUGGUCAUGCUUGGAGAAGGCAUGCUUGCCUCCCUUACCCUAUCAGUUAUCAACACAUACCUUUAUAUGCACCUUAUCGUAUUGAACCAAAACUAAGUAAAGCUUUAAUCUUUAUCACAUUUAGCCAAAACCCAAUUGUAAAAAACAUACUUAGAUAUUCAUAAUUACACUUUAAUUGCAGAAUUAAAUUUCAAUAUAUUUACAAAGAAAUUGAGCGACAUACUAAUCCUGGAAUUGAGGAAUGGCUCGUCAUCCAAAUCGAGCCGGCGAGUGGGCGAGGCCAUGGGGACGGUGACCGACAUGUCGUUCUCCGGAGGAAGCUUUCAGGCAGGCUCUGCGUCAGUGACGAUUUCUUAUGUGGGCGCCGAACAGAAGACUGUUGCGAUUUCGAAGAAGAAAGGGGCGGGGUUUUGGAGAGAGAAAUGAGUAGUUUAGAGAUUUCGGAGAAACUGUCGAAGGAAGCAAAUGGGUGAGAAUGGGUGGGUUUAGUGGUAUCAGAUCUGGAAUUGGGUACAUGGAUUGGAGAUUUUUUUUUAGAAAACUAAUGAAAAUGAGUUUUCUGAGUUUUAACGAUAAGGACAAAAUAAAAGGUAAAGUGAAUAGUACCAGAUUUGACUUUUUAGUGUAAAAAUGUGAUUUUUCGUUAGAGUGAACAGUAUCGCGGGCUUUUCAUUAA